ACAUUCAUUUGAUAGAAUGUCUCUGGGGCUAGGUGAGGAAGAAGACCAACCAGCUAACAGAUGGAACAAAACCCCAUCACAACACUGCAAUCACACCUCACUCUGUGGGCCCUGUGGAUAGAACUAGAAUUUUCCAUUGCUCUCAGGUGCCUCGUUAAGGCACUGAGGGCAUUAGUAAGCCUUAAUGACCCUAAACAGCCUCACCUGUGCACCAGACCACACCCAGGAGCCCUAUUUAAACCGAGCUCUGUACCUCAGUUUUCUUUAGAACUCUGUUGGAGGAAUGCUGCUCUUCAGCUCUGUCCCUGCCUGUGAAGAUUGUUAGUCUGGACUUCAGACUGACUGCCCGGCUUGAUCUUCUAUAUGAUUAUAGAGCAGCUUGGCAAUUGCUGGACCUGAUGGUGAUUUGUGGACUGGAUUGCUGCUUGUUCACAAGCCUGAUAGACUCCUGGCUGGACUUGGCUGCUGCUGGACCUUCUCUUCUUGGGUACCUUGAAAUUGGGCCUAGGCUGGCAGAGGUCUCUUCUCCUGCUGUGGGAGCCCAGAGGUGGCCUGGUCUGCUCUUGUUUCCUGAGGGCUGUGGAGAUCCCUGCAAGGUUUGUGGGCAGUGUGGAGGAUAUGGCUCUGAGGGUGAGCCUGUGCUGCGGCACCAGAGGGGCCUCUUGCCAGGGAGCCGGGAGUGCUGUGUGCUCUGCCUCACCAACUGCCUCAUCCACAGAGAACAGCUGGGCUUCUCUGGGCCUUUUGCAUGGAUUUCUUUGCCUUGAGCAAAAUAUUUGGCUGCUGAGUUAUGAACUAACUCCUUAGACCUGUUUGAGGCACUACAGUGAAGAGCUGCAGGUAAAGGCCUGCAGUCUAAGGAGCAAAUUAUGUUUGUUUUCCAAGUGCCAUGAAGUGCUGCCCCAGAAGUACCACUGCAAGGCAAAGUAUGUGGGGCUGGUGUGCCCUUUCUCUGCUAUAUGUGUGAUUGGACUUGGAAAUGGCUUUUAAUUGCAAUGUUUCAUAUCAAGCUUGUGGGGAGAGUCUUGCUGAGGCUGACACAACUCCCAGUUUGACUGAGUUAACUGGCUAAUUGGAGAGACAUGGGAAGAUGUACAUCGAAAGAGAGUAAGAGGCUUCUGAAACAGGAGGUGGAGAAAGCGAACUCCAUUCAAAAUCCAUUACCAGGAGCUUCAGCCAGCCUCAAGCAGUCAUCUGUAAUGCAGCUAAACCAAGCCUGACCUUGGAAGAUCAAAAAAAGAAGAGGCUGCAUGUCAAGAGAAGAGAGAAGAGGUGGCGUGUGUAACGGCGAGUUCCUGUCCUUCACCUCUUGGGAGUUUACUUACUGGAUGCACUUCCUGGCCUUGUGUUUGACGCAGCAAAAGAAGAUGUGGCACUGCGGACGAGCAUACUGAGGAAGCUGCUUCUGCAGGUGGAUGUAGCUGACUCAAGGGGAAAGCUGAGCAACCUUGGAUACUGAGCUCUAAUUGGUGAGUCUAGAGGUUACUACUGUUUACAAAGGUAAUGUUUAUAACUUGUU